rnacentral:ncRNA from 1 species
AAAAGCGUUGAUCCGUGAGGUUGCUGCCGUCCGGCAGGUAAUUUACGGGGAGCAAAUGUCCGUUCUCGAAACUGGCGACAA